rnacentral:lncRNA from 1 species
UGGAUGUCCCUCAAAGGUCUGCGCUAACUGCCUCUUGAUUGGUUGGAAGCGGCACUUACUACGUGGCGGAUUCUGACUGUGAAGAGGACUGUCCCAAGUGAAGAGUGGGAGGCAAGUGCCUUGUGACCGGGAGGAGGUCGACCUUAAAGGAGCUGGUAUUGUAGCUCUUCUAAAGCCUAGUCUACUUAGGAAGGCAAAAGCGAAGCAGCAAGAAGUGGCCACAGAAGCCGUGUGGUCCCUAGAAGUAGAAGGGUAAGGAGGAUGCAGGAGAUGGUCCUACUUGUGGCCGCAACGGGGCUCAGAAGUCCGCUUGUUAGAGAUGGCAGUGACCUGUGACAAUCCAGUCUGCCCGACACGCCUCCCGCCUCCUUAGGAACGGGAAGGAGCCCCGGCCCAGUGCACUGACGUAGUUAGCCUAAGAUCACGUAGCUGGUUGGUCACAGAAUCAUGACUUUAAUUCAUGUCUUCUGACUCUGACCUGGCACGCUUUGUACCUCACCAAAGACAGUGAUGAAAUUGCAAAAGGGCAGAGUGGAGAAGACUGGAAUGUUCAGCCAAGGCAUUUGAACUUUUAAUGCUGCAAGUCAAGACUUCCUGAAGAUUUUUGAGCAGAUGAGUGAAGUGAUAAGAAAAUGCAUCUUCAGCAGUGACAGCAUCAACGAGGAGGAGACUGGCCGGGAGGCUAUUACCCGCAUCAAAACCAGUGAACAUUAAAAAAAAUUUUUUUUUUAGAGAGAGGGUCUUGCUCUUUUGCCCAGGCUGGAGUGCAGUGGCUUGACCAUAGUUCUCUAUAACCUUGAAUUCCUGCGUUCAAGCGAUCUUCCUUCCUCAGCUUCCGGAGUAGCUGGGACUACAGAUGCGUGCCACCAUGCCAGGCCAAUUUUUAAUUUUGUUUUGUAAAGAUGGGGUUUCUGUGUUGCCCAGGUUGGUCUCAAAUUCCUGGCCUCAAGCCAUCCUCCCGCCUCAGCCUCCCAAAGUGCUGCAAUUUACGGGCAUUAGCCACCGCACCUGGUCCAAAACCGGUGAAGAUUUGUUAAGGUGUUGGCAAUAUGGGUAUACCUAGAUUAUCCUUCAUCUGCUAAAAACAUGCUCUAAUCUCUCCCCAGCCCAAAACAAACAAGAAACCUCUCUUCCCCUUCCAGCUCCUACCACGUGUCUUUGCUCCUCUGUAUGGCAAAACUCAAGUGUUCAAAAUUCCUUAUCUUCAAUUCCUCUUCUCCCAUUCCCAAGUACACUACAGUCAGGCAUUCACACCACCAAAACUGCUCUCGCUGAGGCCACCAGUGCUGUAUUCAAAGGAUAAUCUUUGUUUUAUCAGCUGUAUUUGAUCCAGCAACUCAAGUUUUUCCUGUCUAGAACACCUUUCACCGGUCUUCUUGCUUCUCCAUAGUGCUGGUCGUAACCCUCAAAAGGUCCCCCAGUUCACUCAGGAUAAAAGUCAAGUCCUUAAAAUAGACUACAGGGUGCUACAGCAUCUGGUUCCUAUGGCUUUUCUGAUCUCAUUUCAUACUGUCUUUGCUCACUCCACUGGGCCAAUCAAGACCCACCUGGGGGGUUUUCCUUUGUUGUUUUGCCUGCCUAGGAAACUUCCCAGGUAUAUGAGUUUGCUAGAGUUGCCCUAACAAAUACCACAGACCAGGUGGCCUGAACAAAACUAGUUUAUUUUCUCGAAGUUCUGGAGGCUAGAAGUCCAAGAUCAAGGUGGGAUUCUGAGGCCUCUCUCCUUGGCUUGCCGAUGACAGCCCUCUUACUUCCUCUUCCCUCUGAUGUCUCUUCCUAUUCUUCUAACACCAGUCAGAUUGGAGUGUGGGGCUACCUUUAACAGCCUCAUUUUAACUUAAUCACUGCUUUAAAGAUCUUAUCUCCAAAUACAGUAUAGUUAUAUUCUGAAGCACUAAAGGUUGGGACUUCAACAUGUAAAUUUUGGAGGGACACAAUUUAGCACAUAAUACCCAGGUACCCACAAGAUAUGUUCCCUCACUUUAUUUGAGGCUUUGCUAAUCCCAGUGAAGUCCCUCCUCACUACCUUAUUUAAAAUUAAAACCUCCACCACCUUCCUUCCUUUAUUUCUCUCCUGCUUUAUUUCUGCUUAGCCGAUACAUACAUUACAAAUAUGUAAAUACUGUAAUUUACAUAUUUGUUUUGUUUAUUGUCUGCUGUGUUUCCUUCCACUUGCAUGUAAAUUCUGUGAAGAUUUGCUCAUUGAUGUAUUCGAAGACAUAAAACAGUGCAAAGUGUUUAGCAAGCAUUUAAUAAAUGUUUGUUGAAUGAAUGAAUGAAUGAAUGAAUACCUGAGGACAGAAGGAAAGAGACAACUGGAAAGGAAGAGACUGCAGUUGCUGUAGACAGAGGGGGUUGAUUACGAGAGCAAGAUUCCAGAGUAUCUGGAGGAAAAGGGGCAGCUCUGCCUUCCAUGUUGAAAGUAGAGCGUAGGAGGUAUUCCUAGAGAGUAAGUUAUUUUGAAAAGUAGAGAAAAUAGAUGAGCGAACUCAAACCAAUUGACCAUUAUCUACUCAACAAAAUAGGAGAUAAAAUUGCCCACCUAAAAGGGAUUAUACUAGUUGGUAUGAGGAAGGUGUCAGAAAAUUAACAUAAGAUGAAAAAUGAUUGUUAACUACCUGUUUGAAAUUAGUGUAUAUAUUUUAGUGGGCCUGGUCUUCAUGGUUUUGUAAUUUUUUCAAAAAAUGAUCAUGGCAUGAACAAGGCUAUUAAUCUGAACUAAUGAAUUAGGAGUCUACUUGCCACCUGUAAAUACUGUGGAAGUUUUAUUUAUUCAUUUAACAUUCAGGGAUUCCACAUGACCACCUGCAAAUAAUGAGAAUAAAGAUAUGAACAAAAUAGAUGUGGUUCCCGCCCUUCUGAAGGUUAACACCUAUCUAGUUAGGGAGACAGACAUUAACAAUCACACAUAUAUUAUUAAAACUGAGAUAAGUGCUAUGAUGAAAAAGGCGCGGGCAGAAGAGCACAGUGGUGGAAAAUGCCAGUAAGGAGAGUCAAGCUUUAUACUUGGGAACAAAACACAAAUUUUCCAUUUUGGAAAAAAAGCCUGAGUCGAAGUGUGCUGACUGGGAAAAUAAAUUAAGGAGAGAAAAGAGAGUCUACCUGCUUUAGGACAGCAUGGAGCUUCACAGUGACUUUGUGGGAACUCUGGAACCUGGGUGCCUCAGGGAAAUGUAAGAAAGUGGGGACCGGGCAUGAGAGCUGGCCCGUGAGGCUGGGCCAGGAAAAGAAGCUGGUGCUCAGGUACCCUGAGCCAGGGUUGCCCAAAACAACCAAGAUUCUACAACUGAGUGUGGCCCAAAAAAUCAGCAAAAUAGGUCUGAGAUUUAGAAACAGUGAGUUCAAUCCCUUAACAGAGAGAGACUGCAUCUGUUGAAAUGAUAUUUGAUUGUGAAUAACAAAAACGUUGCCAUAUAGUGGGUGAAGCAAGAAGUGGGUUUUUUUUUUUUACUGACACCACAGCUCUACAGUGAUGUUUUAUUUAAACUUAUGCUCCUUCUGUUUCUCCAUGCUUCAUGGGUGACUUUGUUCCUUUUGCCUGUCGUCUCACUGUUUUGGGAUGGCAACUCCAGUAUCAUUUCUUUAUUAUAGGUAGGACAAAGAGGAAUGACAAAAGGCAUGUAACCACCUGAAUUUGCCCCUAUCAAAGAGCUCUCCAGGAAGCACCACCAAGGAAUUUUCACUGACAUUUCCCAGGCCAGACCAUGCUGCUGCUAAGCAAAAUGAGGAUUCUGCUAGUGAGGAUGAAAGGAAGAAUGUGUAAUCAGUUUUCUUGAAGUAUAAUACAUGUACAAUAAACUGAACCUAUUGGAAAUAUACAUUUGGAUGAGUUUUGACAGAUGUAUAUACCACAGUCAAGAUACAGAACAUUCCCAUCACUCCAAGAGAUUCUUUGUGUCCCUUUGUGGUCAAUCCCUCCUACACGAGGCCCCUAGGUAACCGCUGAUCUGUUUUCCAUCACAAUAGAUUAGUCUGCAUAUUCUAGCAUCUUUAAUAAAUGCAGUCAUACA